CGGGGUGAGUAAUGUAUGGGGAUCUGCCUGAUGGCGGGGGAUAACUACUGGAAACGGUAGCUAAUACCGCAUAACGUCGCAAGACCAAAGAGGGGGACCUCCGGGCCUCGCGCCAUCAGAUGAACCCAUAUGGGAUUAGCUUGUAGGUAAGGUAACGGCUUACCUAGGCGACGAUCCCUAGCUGGUCUGAGAGGAUGAUCAGCCACACUGGGACUGAGACACGGCCCAG
rnacentral:rRNA from 1 species